rnacentral:rRNA from 1 species
GACGUAGGGGGCGAGCGUUGUCCGGAUUCAUUGGGCGUAAAGCGCGCGUAGGCGGCUGCGCAAGUCGGUUGUGAAAUUCCGGGGCUCAACCCCGGAACUGCGUCCGAUACUGCGUGGCUAGAGGUAGGUAGGGGAGAUCGGAAUUCCUGGUGUAGCGGUGAAAUGCGCAGAUAUCAGGAGGAACACCGGUGGCGAAGGCGGGUCUCUGGGCCGAUACUGACGCUGAGGAGCGAAAGCGUGGGGAGCGAACAGG